rnacentral:tRNA from 1 species
ACGGCGAUGCUGCGGGUUUCCGCGAUAGCCGCGGGUAUCGGCCGCGGGUACGAUCAUCGGAUGUGCGGCGCAUUUCCGCUUUC